rnacentral:rRNA from 1 species
UAAGGAAUAUUGGUCAAUGGAGGCAACUCUGAACCAGCCAUGCCGCGUGAAGGAUGAAGGCCCUCUGGGUUGUAAACUUCUUUUAUGUGGGAAGAAAUGCCUGUUUUUUAACGGGUUUGACGGUACCAUAGGAAUAAGCACCGGCUAACUCCGUGCCAGCAGCCGCGGUAAUACGGAGGGUGCAAGCGUUAUCCGGAUUCACUGGGUUUAAAGGGUGCGUAGGUGGGAAUGUAAGUCAGUGGUGAAAUCUUCGUGCUUAACACGGAAACUGCCAUUGAUACUAUGUUUCUUGAAUUUUCUGGAGGUCAGCGGAAUAUGUCAUGUAGCGGUGAAAUGCUUAGAUAUGACAUAGAACACCAAUUGCGAAGGCAGCUGGCUACAGGGAUAUUGACACUGAGGCACGAAAGCGUGGGGAUCAAACAG